GACGAACGCUGGCGGCGUGCUUAACACAUGCAAGUCGAACGGAAAGGCCCUGCUUUUGUGGGGUGCUCGAGUGGCGAACGGGUGAGUAACACGUGAGUAACCUGCCCUUGACUUUGGGAUAACUUCAGGAAACUGGGGCUAAUACCGGAUAGGAGCUCCUGCUGCAUGGUGGGGGUUGGAAAGUUUCGGCGGUUGGGGAUGGACUCGCGGCUUAUCAGCUUGUUGGUGGGGUAGUGGCUUACCAAGGCUUUGACGGGUAGCCGGCCUGAGAGGGUGACCGGCCACAUUGGGACUGAGAUACGCCCCAGACUCGUACCGGAGGCAGCAGUGUAGAAUAUUUCACAAUGGGCGGAAGCCUGAUGCAGCAACGCCGCGUGCGGGAUGACGGCCUUCGGGUUGUAAACCGCUUUCGCCUGUGACGAAGCGUGAGUGACGGUAAUGGGUAAAGAAGCACCGGCUAACUACGUG
rnacentral:rRNA from 1 species